GACGAACUGUCCUAACGUUGUUCGGAAUCACUGGGCUUAAAGGGCGCGUAGGCGGUCUGCCAAGUCGGGGGUGAAAUCCUGCAGCUUAACUGUAGAAGUGCCUUCGAUACUGGCAGUCUGGAGGGAGAUAGGGGUGUGCGGAACUUCCAGUGGAGCGGUGAAAUGCGUUGAUAUUGGAAGGAACGCCGGAGGCGAAAGCGGCGCACUGGAUCUCUUCUGACGCUGAGGCGCGAAAGCUAGGGGAGCAAACGGG
rnacentral:rRNA from 1 species